rnacentral:rRNA from 1 species
UGACAACGCAACGAGUUUUCCUUGCCCGAAAGGGUUGGGUAAUCUUUCAAAUGCUUGUCGUGAUAGGGAUAGAUUCUUGCAAUUUUUAAUCUUGAACGAGGAAUUCCUAGUAAAUGCGGGUCAUCAGCCCGCGUUGAUUACGUCCCUGCCCUUUGUACACACCGCCCGUCGCACCUACCGAUUGAAUGGUUCGAUGAAAAUUUCGGACUGUGGGCCUUUUUGCCUCGGCAAGGGGUCCGCGGAAAGUUAUUUAAAUCUCAUCAUUUAGAGGAAGGUGAAGUCGUAACAAGGUUUCCGUAGGUGAACCUGCGGAAGG